rnacentral:rRNA from 1 species
GCGGACGGCUCAGUAACACGUAGUCAACCUAACUCGUGGACGUGGAUAACCUCGGGAAACUGAGAAUAAACCACGAUAGAUCAUAGUGCCUGGAAUGGCUUAUGGUCCAAACAGUUUACUGCCAUGGGAUGGGACUGCGGCCUAUCAGCUUGUUGGUGAGGUAAUGGCCGACCAAGGCGAUUACAGGUACGGGCUCUGAGAGGAGAAGCCCGGAGAUGGGUACUGAGACACGGACCCAGGCCCUAUGGGGCGCAGCAGGCGAGAAACCUUAGCAAUGUGCGAAAGCACGACUGGGUCAGUCCGAGUGAUUCCUGAUAAAGGAGUCUUUUGCUUGUCCUAAAAGCACAGGUGAAUAAGGGGUGGGCAAGUCUGGUGUCAGCCGCCGCGGUAAUACCAGCACCUCGAGUGGUCAGGACGUUUAUUGGGCCUAAAGCAUCCGUAGCCGGCUUUGCAAGUCUUCGGUUAAAUCCACCUGCUCAACAGAUGGGCCGCUGGAGAUACUACAGAGCUAGGGAGUGGGAGAGGCAGACGGUAUUCAGUGGGUAGGGGUAAAAUCCUCUGAUCCAUUGAGGACCACCAGUGGCGAAGGCGGUCCGCCAGAACACGUUCGACGGUGAGGGAUGAAAGCUGGGGGAGCAAACCGGAUUAGAUACCCGGGUAGUCCCAGCUGUAAACGAUGCAAACUCGGUGAUGCAUUGGCUUAUGGCCA